rnacentral:misc_RNA from 1 species
CAUUUCUUCUUUAUAAUAAUACACAUAUUCCCCUUAUACUCCCAUUAAUUACCGAAAGUCUUCACAUCACUCGAACGUUGAUAUGUAAAGAUGUACAAAGAACACCAAUGCAGCAAGAGUUGCAGAUUUCCCCCUUAUAUUUUUUUGGGAUGAUAUAGUUUUUUACAAUAUAAAUAAACCAGAGGCCCCUACAUUUUCUUUUCUUUUGGUACAUUGGGAGACUCAAAAUAAACAAGAGCCCCUAG